GUCCCUGUAGUUAAACUUUUGUUAGCGAUAGCUUUUCAUGCUGUAGAUCUCGGAGAGAGGCCGGGCAGGGAUU
rnacentral:tRNA from 1 species